rnacentral:lncRNA from 1 species
GUUGAAGGAGUGAGGAGGAAAGAGAGGAGAGAGCUUCACUCUGCUUCCUAAACCCACCCUUGCCGGGUCAGGAGCAGAUCACCGAGGUCAGCAGCCUCGUGGGACCAUCAGGAUGAUAAGCUGCAUCUUCAUGUAGGCAUGUGUGAUGUCACCAACUCAGUUCCCAAGAGCCAGGCAGAUAACAUACACGUGUGAAGUCAGCUGGAUAGAAGGCAAAUUGGAGGCUGAAAAGGAUGAAGCUGAACUGGAGGGUUCAUACUCAGCCUAAGGUAACUCGACGUUGCAGUGAUGCGUGACCACACAGAGCAGCGGAGGCUGGAGCCAGCUCACGGGCUACAGAUACAUUUCUCGGGAGAAAUUGACAAUUACUCCCAAAGCUGAAAACUAAUCUGGAGCACAGGCGGUCGGGCUGCUGAGGAACUCAGAAGCAGAGCAGGAGAAACAGUCGCGUAUCAGUCCGAGGGAACCGGCUGUGGACCACAGGGGAAAGGCAGCUUCGCGUGAGAGCAGGAAGAGAGAGCACAUCCGGGUUAGCAGGGUCGGGAGACCAGGACUUGUGGGCAAACUGCAGUGUGUCUUUCUUUUCUUCUAAGUUCCUGACCAGCGGAAUCAUUGAUUUAAGACUCAUUGUUUUAAAACUGUUUAAUGGGAUUAUUAGAUCUUGCUUUGAAACCUGC